UGCCAGCAGCCGCGGUAAUACGUAGGGUGCGAGCGUUAAUCGGAAUUACUGGGCGUAAAGCGUGCGCAGGCGGUUUUGUAAGACAGACGUGAAAUCCCCGGGCUUAACCUGGGAACUGCGUUUGUGACUGCAAGGCUAGAGUAUGGCAGAGGGGGGUAGAAUUCCACGUGUAGCAGUGAAAUGCGUAGAUAUGUGGAGGAAUACCGAUGGCGAAGGCAGCCCCCUGGGUCAAUACUGACGCUCAUGCACGAAAGCGUGGGGAGCAAACAGGAUUAGAUACCCUGGUAGUCCACGCCCUAAACGAUGUCAACUAGGUGUUGGGGGAGGAGACUUCCUUAGUACCGCAGCUAACGCGUGAAGUUGACCGCCUGGGGAGUACGGCCGCAAGGUUGAAACUUAAAUGAAUUGACGG
rnacentral:rRNA from 1 species